CAUGCAAGUCGAGGGGCAGCAUGGUCUUAGCUUGCUAAGGCUGAUGGCGACCGGCGCACGGGUGAGUAACACGUAUCCAACCUGCCGUCUACUCUUGGCCAGCCUUCUGAAAGGAAGAUUAAUCCAGGAUGGGAUCAUGAGUUCACAUGUCCGCAUGAUUAAAGGUAUUUUCCGGUAGACGAUGGGGAUGCGUUCCAUUAGAUAGUAGGCGGGGUAACGGCCCACCUAGUCAACGAUGGAUAGGGGUUCUGAGAGGAAGGUCCCCCACAUUGGAACUGAGACACGGUCCAAACUCCUACGGGAGGCAGCAGUGAGGAAUAUUGGUCAAUGGGCGAUGGCCUGAACCAGCCAAGUAGCGUGAAGGAUGACUGCCCUAUGGGUUGUAAACUUCUUUUAUAAAGGAAUAAAGUCGGGUAUGCAUACCCGUUUGCAUGUACUUUAUGAAUAAGGAUCGGCUAACUCCGUGCCAGCAGCCGCGGUAAUACGGAGGAUCCGAGCGUUAUCCGGAUUUAUUGGGUUUAAAGGGAGCGUAGAUGGAUGUUUAAGUCAGUUGUGAAAGUUUGCGGCUCAACCGUAAAAUUGCAGUUGAUACUGGAUGUCUUGAGUGCAGUUGAGGCAGGCGGAAUUCGUGGUGUAGCGGUGAAAUGCUUAGAUAUCACGAAGAACUCCGAUUGCGAAGGCAGCCUGCU
rnacentral:rRNA from 1 species